ensembl:snRNA U2 U2 spliceosomal RNA
ACCGCUUCUCGGCCUUUUGGCUAAGAUCAAGUGUAGUGUCUGUUCUUACCAGUUUAAUAAUGGAUCAUGGCGGUGUUUCCUAUUGAGUGCAAAGAGAGUCUUGGGAACUUUCUUAACACAGCAGUCACUUUCAAUUACC